rnacentral:rRNA from 1 species
UACAGAGGUCCCGAGCGUUGUUCGGAUUCAUUGGGCGUAAAGGGUGCGUAGGCGGCGGGGAAAGUCUGAUGUGAAAUCCUGGGGCUCGACCCUGGAACUGCAUUGGAUACUUCCUUGCUAGAGUACUGGAGAGGAAACUGGAAUUUACGGUGUAGCAGUGAAAUGCGUAGAGAUCGUAAGGAAGACCAGUGGCGAAGGCGAGUUUCUGGACAGUUACUGACGCUGAGGCACGAAGGCCAGGGGAGCAAACGGG